rnacentral:rRNA from 1 species
CUACGGGCUGCUCCAGUGAGGAAUAUUGCACAAUGGAGGAAACUCUGAUGCAGCAACGCCGCGUGGAGGAUGACGCAUUUCGGUGUGUAAACUCCUUUUAUGAGUCAAGAAAAUGACGGUAGCUCAUGAAUAAGCACCGGCUAACUCCGUGCCAGCAGCCGCGGUAAUACGGAGGGUGCAAGCGUUACUCGGAAUCACUGGGCGUAAAGGACGCGUAGGCGGGAUAUCAAGUCAGGUGUGAAAUCCUACAGCUUAACUGGAGAACUGCACUUGAAACUGGUAACCUAGAGUAUGGGAGGGGGAGAUGGAAUUAGUGGUGAAGGGGUAAAAUCCGUAGAUAUCACUAGGAAUACCUAAAGCGAAGGCGAUCUCCUGGAACAUAACUGACGCUAAGGCGUGAAAGCGUGGGGAGCAAACAGGAUUAGAUACCCUAGUAGUC